rnacentral:rRNA from 1 species
CCUCAUGGCCCUUAUGGGUAGGGCUUCACACGUCAUACAAUGGUCGGUACAGAGGGUUGCCAAGCCGGCGACGGUGGACGCCAAAUCCCUUAAAGCCGAUCGUAGUCCGGAUCGUAGUCUGCAACUCGACUACGUGAAGUCGGAAUCGCUAGUAAUCGCAGAUCAGCAUGCUGCGGUGAAUACGUUCCCGGGUCUU